rnacentral:rRNA from 1 species
UCUGCGCGCACCGGCGGACGGCUCAGUAACACGUCGGUAACCUACCCUCGGGAGGGGGAUAACCCCGGGAAACUGGGGCUAAUCCCCCAUAGGCCUGAGGUACUGGAAGGUCCUCAGGCCGAAAGGGUCUCUGACCGCCCGAGGAUGGGCCGGCGGCCGAUUAGGUAGUUGGUGGGGUAACGGCCCACCAAGCCGAAGAUCGGUACGGGCCAUGAGAGUGGGAGCCCGGAGAUGGACACUGAGACACGGGUCCAGGCCCUACGGGGCGCAGCAGGCGCGAAACCUCCGCAAUGCGGGCAACCGCGACGGGGGGACCCCCAGUGCCGUGGCAUCGCCACGGCUUUUCCGGAGUGCAAAAAGCUCCGGGAAUAAGGGCUGGGCAAGGCCGGUGGCAGCCGCCGCGGUAAUACCGGCGGCCCGAGUGGUGGCCGCUAUUAUUGGGCCUAAAGCGUCCGUAGCCGGGCCCGUAAGUCCCUGGCGAAAUCCCACGGCUCAACCGUGGGGCUUGCUGGGGAUACUGCGGGCCUUGGGACCGGGAGAGGCGGAGGGUACCCCUGGGGAGGGGGGGGAAAUCCUAUAAUCCCAGGGGGACCGCCAGUGGGCAAAGGCGCUCCGCUGGAACGGGUCCGACGGUGAGGGACGAAGGCCAGGGGAGCGAACCGGAUUAGAUACCCGGGUAGUCCUGGCUGUAAGGUCG